UAAGCGCUCGGUCAGCGGCGGCUCAUGACAGGCGGGGAGGGGGAAGGAAGAAGUGGAAGCCGCGGAUCCAUCUUCAAGAGAAAAUAGGAAAGAGACCGCGUUUCCACCAGUUUUAUUUCGUUUCUUUUAGCGGCAUCCUUCCUUGUAAAUACGUGUCAGGGAGCCCGAGGUGGGGGCUGUGUCAUUGUCUGUAGGAUGUCCCGACAUGAAGGUGUGAGCUGUGACGCGUGUUUAAAAGGGAACUUCAGGGGGCGCCGAUACAAGUGUUUAAUUUGCUACGACUACGAUCUGUGUGCGUCGUGUUACGAAAGUGGAGCCACCACAACCCGACACACCACCGAACACCCCAUGCAGUGCAUACUAACCAGGGUAGACUUUGAUCUGUAUUACGGAGGAGAGGCGUUUUCAGUAGAGCAGCCCCAGUCGUUCACUUGUCCCUACUGUGGAAAAAUGGGUUACACAGAAACGUCUCUACAGGAACACGUCACCUCGGAGCACGCAGAGACUACCACAGAGGUGAUCUGCCCCAUAUGUGCAGCUUUGCCCGGAGGCGACCCCAAUCAUGUGACGGACGACUUCGCUGCUCAUCUCACACUUGAACACAGAGCACCAAGAGAUUUAGAUGAGAGCAGCGGGGUGCGGCACGUGCGCAGGAUGUUCCACCCGGGGCGUGGACUGGGCGGCCCUCGGGCACGGAGGACUAACAUGCACUUUACCAGCAGCUCCACUGGGGGGCUCUCAUCCUCACAAAGCUCCUCUUACUCCCCGAGCAAUCGGGAAGCCAUGGACCCUAUAGCAGAGCUGCUGUCCCAGCUGUCUGGCGUCCGGCGCUCGGCUGGCGGUCAGCUGAACCCUUCAGGCCCGUCAGCCUCGCAGCUCCAGCAGUUGCAAAUGCAGUUGCAGCUGGAGAGGCAGCAGGCACAGGCGGCACGUCAGCAACUAGAAACGGCGCGCAACGCCACACGCCAGCGCAGCAACGCCAGCAACAUUAGCGCCAGCGUGCCGCCGCCCAGCACCGCGACAAACACAUCCAUAACCGAGAGCAACCCCAUGGCCUCCCACAGCUCCCAGUUCCUCCUCACACGGUUGAACGAGCCGAAGAUGUCGGAGGCGGAGCGUCAGGCUCUGGAGAGCGAGCGCGCAGACCGAAGCCUGUUCGUGCAAGAGCUGCUGCUGUCCACGCUGAUGCGCGAGGAGAGCUCCUCCUCGGACGAGGACGAGCGGCGAGACUUCGCCGACUUCGGCGCCAUGGGCUGCGUGGAGAUCAUGCCUUUGGACGUGGCACUGGAGAGCCUGAACCUGAAGGAGAGCUCUGCAGGCAAAGAGCCUCCACCUCCUCCUCUUUGAUGAUAUCCCACCAACACGCAGACAAUGUCCUCUGUGCUGUAACUGCCAAUGACGGUAAGCGUAGGUAGCCGUGGCAGACCUUUCGCGUCCUGUGUCCUAACAAAAAGAAAAAAAUAAAAAAAAAAGACAAACAACUCUCCUUAUAAAUACUCCACAUUCUAAAACUGAAGACAGAGUCCUUCUCUAAUGAAGCUGCUGUGUGUAUUUAUGAAUAGUAAUUAAUAAAAAGUGCUUGGAUGGUUUACCAUAACUACUGCAUGAGGUUAUUUGCAGUGUGCAUGAUUUUUAAUGACAUUGUCAUUAAAAUGGCAAAAACAAAAAAAAAAGAAAAAAAAAACAAACAAACCCAAAGCUUUCUUUAAUUUUUUUUAAGAGUUACUUGAACUGAUUAAAAAAUGUUUUGAAUCUAUGGAAUAUUAUAGAAUCAGAAUUUAUUUAAAUAUUUUAUAAAAAAGGAAAUAAAAGCAAAAGCAAAUCUCUUUUUUUUUUUUUUUUCCCCCCCUUGAUUUUUAAAAAUGAAAUCUGCAGUAGCUUCAUAAGAAAGCAACGCAACCUUCUGUCUCCGCUCCAGGCUGCCUCACUUCCAGGCGAACCCGAUCCUCGGCCAGUGCUGCGGAAUAAAAAGAAAAGAACAUGAAGAGGGGGGACAAAUGCAAGUUAAUAGUAUAGUUUUUUUGUUAUUUUAUUUUUUAUUUUUUCCCCCAAGAACGAAAUCUAUACAGGCGAAAAAUAUAACCCGCCUUCUGUUAAUUUUUUUUUUUUCUUUCUUUUUGGUAAAUGACGAUGUUUUUGUGACAACUGUGUAAUCACCAGAUGUACUUUCUCACUUUUUGCACCUGUACAGAACAGUUAGCCUCUCCAUACAUGAUUCAUCUUGCUCUGCUUUUUCCAAUAGCGCCUGCUGC